rnacentral:tRNA from 9 species
AUGUUUCGUUUGAUGAUCGGGUCGGUCUCGAAAACCGGAGUAGGGGCAACUCUACCGGGGGUUCAAAUCCCCCUCUCUCCGCCA